rnacentral:rRNA from 1 species
UACGUAGGGUCCGAGCGUUGUCCGGAAUUAUUGGGCGUAAAGAGCUCGUAGGCGGUUUGUCGCGUCUGCUGUGAAAUCCCGAGGCUCAACCUCGGGUCUGCAGUGGGUACGGGCAGACUGGAGUGCGGUAGGGGAGAAUGGAAUUCCUGGUGUAGCGGUGGAAUGCGCAGAUAUCAGGAGGAACACCGGUGGCGAAGGCGGGUCUCUGGGCAACAACUGACGCUGAGGAGCGAAAGCGUGGGGAGCAAACGGG